CCUAAGAUAGUGCCUUGAGCUCAGAAGUGGGGGAUAAAUGUUAUGGAGUCAUGCCACCUAACUCGACGUCCUCGAAACUCAUUCUCGAAAAUCUCGAGCUGAUGGAAACACUGAUGUGAGCCUUAAUGACAAGCACCAUUAAAUCCAUCAUAGAGUGCUGAGAUGAGGCAAUCUUAUUGGCUUCUAUCUGACCCUUAGCUUCGGCACCACCGACCUUCGGAUUGAUAUCUCACCAACAACAGGAAUGAAGUCUUGUGAUCAAUGAUGAUACGGACUCCCACCAACCUCCAAGUCGGAAUUCCAUCGACCACAAAGGAUAAGAUCCCACGAUCUGUCUUGAUGCGAAUCUGAUUAGGACGGCACCUCGAUCGUGGCCAACCUCAGUCCACUAACCGAUUAGGCCACGUGGAUAAUUAGUUGGAAUCUUCCAAUAAACUCUCGAAAUGUGGCCACAUCAUAUAACAAACACCCACAACUAACAAACUAGUUAGUCGGUGGACUCUCUAUCCUAAUAACCUAUGGGUUAGGCAUAACAAACUUUGACACCUUUCUAUAUAAAGGUAAUAAAUAAAUCCCAAAUGGUAUGCAUAC
rnacentral:lncRNA from 1 species